GAUGAGCCAAGAUUGGUACCCUUUAAAGGUACUAUUGAUUUUAAACUGAAGAGUUUGAUCAUGGCUCAGAUUGAACGCUGGCGGCAGGCUUAACACAUGCA
rnacentral:rRNA from 1 species